GUUGCGUGUAGCUCAGAUGGUCAGAGCGCCAGGUUGUGGCCCUGGAGGUCGCCGGUUCGAGACCGAUCACGCACCCCA
rnacentral:tRNA from 2 species